UCCAUAGUAUUAUGAAAACUUCAAGGACGAAUCUGCAAAUUUAGCUUCAUCUGCCUGCCUUAUCUCCUUCGUUCCUCCUCGGGGAGCCAGAGGCCAUUACUACAUUACAGUCACAGCUCUCUGUUUCUCUCUCUCAACAAUAACAAUGGUUUUGACGAUGAUGUCUAUGUCUCUCGCUCAGUCUUCUCUCUCCUCUUUGUCUGUUUCACCGAUGCUAUUUUCAUCUAAAACCCUACCUCGACCAACUCACGCUGUUUUUCUGAGUAGGCAUAGCAAAUUCUCUCUAUCCCAAUCGAAUCGAUACUUAAGGCUUCAUACGAGUCCAUCUUCAAGUAGAGGACGCCAUUCAAUAUGCUUUUACAAUCGCGAUGAAGAUAAAUUUCAACAUAAGGAAAGUGAGUUGGCCUGGCCGAUCCUGAAACGGUGGGAUGUGCCUUGGAAGUGGCAAACAGUUUCCUUAACCUCACUUGCUUGUGGAAUAAGUUUUGUUUUGACAGGGUUGAUAGAGGCAGCAGCUAUACCCUACCUAGGACUUCAAAUUGGAGAACUGAGCUUGGAUGAGAAAGCAGAAAUACUAUUUCUGGACCAGGGCAUUACGACUGCAGUUGUAUUAGUUGUUUUGUAUAGUCUCACCAACACGUUCCAACCUCGUCCCGAUGACUUGUUUCGUUAUGAUUUGAGGGAACCUUUCGAUCUACAGAAAGGAUGGCUCUCGUGGGCAGCAAUUGGUCUUGUUGGAGCCCUAAUAGCUAUUGCAUUGACUGGAGCUGCCCUCUCCUUGUUUGGUGGUGAGGACCCACAAAGAGAGACUGAUGCUCUAGUUCGCUUGCUUCCAUUGAUUGGAUCCUCAAGUAUCAGCACUGUCUGUCUGCUUGGCAUCACGGGUGUCCUUGCUCCACUCCUUGAGGAGACUCUGUUUCGAGGUUUUCUUAUGGUGUCCCUUACCAAGUGGUUGCCAACUCCAGUUUCUGUUCUCAUUAGUGCUGCAGUAUUUGCAGUCGCACAUCUCACUCCUGGACAGUUUCCCCAGCUGUUUGUGUUAGGGAUUGCUUUGGGAUUUUCGUAUGCUCAAACACGUAACCUUCUCGCUCCCAUCACUAUACAUGCUCUCUGGAACUCUGGAGUGAUCUUGCUUCUCACCUUUCUUCAGAUAUACUACUAGUGGUUUGCAAGAGAGUCAUAGAGCUUGUUGGAUUCGAGUUUUGUAGCUCUUUAUUUCUAAAUGCAUUAGUUUAUGCUGAAACAAAGCUUGUAAAAAGUGCUCAUCGUGUUGAUUUUAAGUUGUAAUCAUGUAUAAUUUGGAUCCUCGAGAACUAGACCUGGUCCAAGGGUAUGAUAUCAGGGAAUUGCUGCAGGCCUCUUCAUAGAGAUUGUGCGCAUUUCUUUCGUUCUGACAGUAUGGGGCGGUGCUUGGUUGAAUGCUUCAGUUUACUCAUUGUUCAAUUUAUCUUUAUUGUAAUUUUGAAUUUUUAUUCAGUUUUAUUUUACUAGAAAUUAAAAGGGAUUUGAUUGUGUAAAGUUUAGUCUAAUCCACCUAUAUUAGUCAGGAGACAAAAAAGAAUCUGCUAUGCGCAUGUGCAUCUUUACAUGUGCUUGAUUCAUGGCUACGUAUGGAGUCAUGUUUUGUGAUGACUUCUGGAGUUGGAUUAAUUGUUAUCAUAUUUUAUGAGGGAGGCUUCAAAGUGGGAGCACCGAAAUUCACCCCAAUAAUAUUGUUGGGCAUCCACCAUUUCUUGGAUUUUA